rnacentral:rRNA from 1 species
UACGAAGGGGGCUAGCGUUGUUCGGAUUUACUGGGCGUAAAGCGCCACGUAGGCGGAUCUUUAAGUCAGAGGGUGAAAUCCCAAGGCUCAACCUUGGAACUGCCUUUGAUACUGGGGAUCUUGAGUCCGGGAGAGGUGAGUGGAACUGCGAGUGUAGAGGUGAAAUUCGUAGAUAUUCGCAAGAACACCAGUGGCGAAGGCGGCUCACUGGCCCGGUACUGACGCUGAGGUGCGAAAGCGCGGGGAGCAAACAGG